UUUUUUUUUAAGCCUUUUUCGUUCCUGUUUGUUAAAUUGUGAUCAUGUGUCAGGUUUUAUAUUGCAGGCCAAAAAAAAAAACUGAAACUUUAAGUAGCCUUGUAUUGUGUAUGACUGAGUGUCUUGGCUGCGUUUCACACUUGAGUGGUUUAUUGACACUCAUCCCGUGUGUAUUCCGCCACGUUACUUUGACAGGGAACGACGCUGCGGUACCUCCAGUUUUAUCCUGCUACAGUUAUUUUGUCAUUAUGAAAGUGAGCCGGUUUCACAGCAUUUUUAACAAGGCUGUAAAUGCUUUUUUUUCCCCCUCCUGAAUGUAUUUGAUCUCGGAUCAAAAUGUCAGAAUCAUUAGCUGGGUGUCAAACCUCGUUAUGACUAACAUGUUGUUGUUUUCAUUUCAUGCCUGGGUUCAUCCUGUUUGACCCAUGCAAUUAAACGGCACCGAGUUUUAAAUACGGAAAAGGGCAAAAAAAAAAAAAGACGCAUGGUAAACGUUGCAGUGGUAAACACAUUACCUGACGGCACUGAAUUCUACGAUCCCGCGGAGGAAAUAUCCCAGCGUUUCUGGACUUUCGGCGAUUUUCUCGGAUGCAAAUAACAAAAGCCCUGUCCAGAUGAUGUCAUUACAGUCGAAAGACUGAAAAAUAGAUAUGGAUAUAUAUAUAUAUAUAUAUAGAUAGAUAGAUAAAUACGUGCACAUAUAUCGACACCUUCUGGUUCAUUUUUAGGCCCGGUUCGGAAUUCUAUAAUAGUUGCUUUUAUAUUGGGGAAAAGAACAGGUUUACUUUUUAUGUAUGAUGUGCAUGCAGCUUUAUUGUAACUUUCUUACACCUUUUCUGAGCUCUUUAUAGCAUCUUUUUCCUGUACAUGUCUGUCACUGGAUCAAUCAAAGGUGUCAGUGUAAGUAGUUUUAGGCUUGUAUUUUGCAGUAUGGAUAUAACGGAAAUGAAUAGCUUGGGGGCAGAGUUAAUAUUCAAUGUAACCUCUGACCCUGGGGGCUC